CAGCUAGUUGGCGGGGUAACGGCCCACCAAGGCGACGACGGGUAGCUGGUCUGAGAGGAUGGCCAGCCACAUUGGGACUGAGAGACGGCCCAGACUCCUACGGGAGGCAGCAGUGGGGAAUCUUGCGCAAUGGGCGAAAGCCUGACGCAGCGACGCCGCGUGUGGGAGGAAGCUCUUCGGGGUGUAAACCACUGUUGCCCGGGACGAACAGCUCGUUUAGACGAGCCUGACGGUACCGGGUGAGGAAGCACCGGCUAACUCUGUGCCAGCAGCCGCGGUAAUACAGAGGGUGCGAGCGUUGUCCGGAAUCACUGGGCGUAAAGGGCGCGUAGGUGGUAACCUAAGCGUGCGGUGAAAGCCCGAGGCUCAACCUCGGGUCGGCCGUGCGAACUGGGUCACUCGAGCAGAAUAGAGGCAGGUGGAAUUCCGGGUGUAGCGGUGGAAUGCGUAGAGAUCCGGAAGAACACCGGUGGCGAAGGCGGCCUGCUGGGUUCUGGCUGACACUGAGGCGCGACAGCGUGGGGAGCAAACAGGAUUAGAUACCCUGGUAGUCCACGCCGUAAACGAUGGGCACUAGGUGCUUGGGGGAGCGACCCCCUGGGUGCCGGCGCUAACGCAUGAAGUGCCCCGCCUGGGGAGUACGGCCGCAAGGC
rnacentral:rRNA from 1 species